rnacentral:rRNA from 1 species
UAACAUGAGAGUUUGAUCCUGGCUCAGAACGAACGCUGGCGGCACGCUUAACACAUGCAAGUCGAACGAACUUGUCGGAGCUUGCUCUGACAAUGUUAGUGGCGCACGGGUGAGUAAUACGUGGGAAUCUAUCCUUUGGUGGGGGACAACCCCGGGAAACUGGGGCUAAUACCGCAUAAUCUCGAGAGAGCAAAGAUUUAUCGCCAAGGGAUGAGCUUGCGCCUGAUUAGGUAGUUGGUAGGGUAAAGGCCUACCAAGCCUGUGAUCAGUAGCUGGUCUGAGAGGAUGGUCAGCCACACUGGAACUGAGACACGGUCCAGACUCCUACGGGAGGCAGCAGUGGGGAAUAUUGGACAAUGGGGGAAACCCUGAUCCAGCGAUGCCGCGUGAGUGAAGAAGGCCUUCGGGUUGUAAAACUCUUUUAUCAGGGAAGAUGAUGACGGUACCUGA